rnacentral:rRNA from 1 species
CCCUUAGAUGUUCUGGGCUGCACGCGCGCUACACUGAUGCGCUCAACGAGUUUUGACCUUGCCCGGCAGGGUUGGGUAAUCUUCUUAAAACGCAUCGUGAUGGGGAUAGAUUAUUGCAAUUAUUAAUCUUCAACGAGGAAUUCCUAGUAAGCGCGAGUCAUCAGCUCGUGCUGAUUACGUCCCUGCCCUUUGUACACACCGCCCGUCGCUCCUACCGAUUGGGUGUGCUGGUGAAAUGUUCGGAUCGGCCGUUUGUCGCGGUUUCCGCGUCAUGUGGCUGAGAAGUUCAUUAAACCCUCCCACCUAGAGGAAGGAGAAGUCGUAACA